GUUGGGCGUGGUGGUGCUCACCUGUAGUCCCAACUACUUGGGAAGCUGAGGUGGGAGGAUCACUUGAGCCCAGGAGUUCAAGGCUGCAGUGAGCCAUGGUUGAGCCACUGUACUUCAGCCUGGGCAAGACAGUGAGACCCUGUCUCUA
rnacentral:SRP_RNA from 1 species